UACAGAGGUGGCAAGCGUUGUUCGGAAUUACUGGGCGUAAAGGGCGAGUAGGUGGCCAUCUAAGUCAGACGUGAAAUCCCCCGGCUUAACCUGGGAACUGCGUCUGAUACUGGACGGCUUGAGUAUGGGAGAGGAACGUAGAAUUCCUGGUGUAGCGGUGAAAUGCGCAGAUAUCAGGAAGAACACCCGUGGCGAAGGCGGCUCUCUGGGACGGUACUGACGCUGAGACGCGAAAGCGUGGGGAGCGAACAGG
rnacentral:rRNA from 1 species